rnacentral:rRNA from 1 species
AGAGUUUGAUCCUGGCUCAGGAUGAACGCUGGCGGCGUGCUUAACACAUGCAAGUCGAACGAAGCAUUUAAAACGGAUUUUUUUGGAAUGAAGUUUUUUAUGACUGAGUGGCGGACGGGUGAGUAACGCGUGGGUAACCUGCCUCACACAGGGGGAUAGCAGUUGGAAACGACUGGUAAUACCGCAUAAGCGCACAGCUUCGCAUGAAGCGGUGUGAAAAACUCCGGUGGUGUGAGAUGGACCCGCGUCUGAUUAGGUAGUUGGUGAGGUAACGGCCCACCAAGCCGACGAUCCAUAGCCGACCUGAGAGGGUGACCGGCCACAUUGGGACUGAGACACGGCCCAAACUCCUACGGGAGGCAGCAGUGGGGAAUAUUGCACAAUGGGCGAAAGCCUGAUGCAGCGACGCCGCGUGAGCGAAGAAGUAUUUCGGUAUGUAAAGCUCUAUCAGCAGGGAAGAUAAUGACGGUACCUGACUAAGAAGCACCGGCUAAAUACAUGCCAGCAGCCGCGGUAAUACGUAGGGGGCAAGCGUUAUCCGGAUUUACUGGGUGUAAAGGGAGCGUAGACGGUUUUGCAAGUCUGAAGUGAAAGCCCGGGGCUUAACCCCGGGACUGCUUUGGAAACUGUAGAACUAGAGUGCAGGAGAGGUAAGUGGAAUUCCUAGUGUAGCGGUGAAAUGCGUAGAUAUUAGGAGGAACACCAGUGGCGAAGGCGGCUUACUGGACGGCAACUGACGUUGAGGCUCGAAAGCGUGGGGAGCAAACAGGAUUAGAUACCCUGGUAGUCCACACCGUAAACGAUGAUUACUAGGUGUUGGAGGAUUGACCCCUUCAGUGCCGUAGUUAACACAAUAAGUAAUCCACCUGGGGAGUACGACCGCAAGGUUGAAACUCAGAGGAAUUGACGGGGGCCCGCACAAGCAGUGGAGUAUGUGGUUUAAUUCGACGCAACGCGAAGAACCUUACCAAGUCUUGACAUCCCUUGACGAUGCUGGAAACAGUAUUUCUCUUCGGAGCAAGGAGACAGGUGGUGCAUGGUUGUCGUCAGCUCGUGUCGUGAGAUGUUGGGUUAAGUCCCGCAACGAGCGCAACCCUUAUGGUCAGUUACUACGCAAGAGGACUCUGGCCAGACUGCCGUUGACAAAACGGAGGAAGGUGGGGAUGACGUCAAAUCAUCAUGCCCCUUAUGAUUUGGGCUACAUACGUGCUACAAUGGCGUAAACAAAGGGAAGCGAACCCGCGAGGGUGGGCAAAUCUCAAAAAUAACGUCUCAGUUCGGAUUGUAGUCUGCAACUCGACUACAUGAAGCUGGAAUCGCUAGUAAUCGCGAAUCAGCAUGUCGCGGUGAAUACGUUCCCGGGUCUUGCACUCACCGCCCGUCA